GCUGGCGAGUGAAACGGAUUAUCACGCAUGACUCAUUCUCAUGAGAUAACAGGUUCGACUCCUGUGCUUCAGCGA
rnacentral:tRNA from 1 species